GGUGUGUUUUGGAUUUUGGCCCCCGGUGUGAUUGAGUUGGACACUCCUGCGGCGCAGGUGCAGCUGCGCCUGCAGGUCCCGAGUCUCAUCCCAACCGGCCGCCUGCAGCUGCAGACGGCGCAGCUGCAGGCGGCCGCGCGCGCGGCCCUGCAGCUCUGCAGACGCGGAAAAAGCGGACUUCCCGUCAUGCGCGGCGCAGACACUUUGACACCAAGCAGCCGUUCGAUCUCAAACCGUCACUCACCGUCGGACACGAGUCGAUCUGCCCAAACCGAAGAGAGCCAGAGAGCCGUCCUCUAGCGGGUCAUGGUCCGGAGGCUGAGCGGGAAGGAGGACGGACGGAGCGGCCGGACCGCUGGACGCUCGGUUCCUCUCUCUGCGCUGGGAUAGAGGAACUGAGGAAGUAAAAGUUGACUUGCAUCACACACAGCAUGCAAGUUUUGAAGAAGUCCGGAAGCAAGGACGGUAUCUAUGCAAAUGAGGGCAGCUGCGGGGACGGGUGAACGAUCAGAGGAAGAAACGCGCCAACGUGGAGCUGGAAGAACUGCCGUCCCCGCCACUCGAUCAAGGGUUUAUGGGCCGUAGAAGGUCUUCAAGUUUGACCCUGUAAACUGUUCACGUAGCGUCGAUCUGCUGUCUCUGAUGGAGAAUUCUUCCUCUGUCUUCAACCAGAGACUGACGUUCAUCUCCACCAUGUUCAGAGUCCAGAACUCGUUUAUAAUUCAGUCAAAUCUCUCAGAUGUUGGUCAGUAAAACGGACUGUCAUGGAUGUUUGCAGGUUUUUAACCCCAUUUGACUCUUUUGUCUCCGUUUUUUCAUUAAAAUAAAGACAUGAUUGAUUUUGUCCUUUUA